GACGAACGCUGGCGGCGUGCUUAACACAUGCAAGUCGAACGGCAAGGCACUGCUUUUUUGCGGUUCUCGAGUGGCGAACGGGUGAGUAACACGUGAGUAACCUGCCCUUGACUUUGGGAUAACUUCAGGAAACUGGGGCUAAUACCGGAUAGGAGCUCCUGCUGCAUGGUGGGGAUUGGAAAGUUUCGGCUGUAGGGGAUGGACUCGCGGCUUAUCAGCUUGUUGGUGGGGUAGUGGCUUACCAAGGCUGUGACGGGUAGCCGGCAUGAGAGGGUGACCGGCGACAUUGGGACUGAGAUAGGGCGCAGACGCCUACGGGAGGCAGAAGUGGGGAAUAUUGUACAAUGGGCGGAAGCCUGAUGAAGCAACGCCGGGUGCGUGAUGACGGCCUUUGGGUUGUAAACAGCUUUAGGCUGUGACGAAGCGUGAGUGACGGUAAUGGGUAAAGAAGCACCGGCUAACUACGUG
rnacentral:rRNA from 1 species